AUUGAACGCUGGCGGCAGGCCUAACACAUGCAAGUCGAACGGUAGCACAGAGAGCUUGCUCUCGUGUGACGAGCGGCGGACGGGUGAGUAAUGUCUGGGUAACUGCCCGAUGGAGCGGGAUAACUACCGGAAACGGUAGCUAACACCGCAUAAUUUCGCAAGACCAAAGAGGGCGACCUUCGGGCCUCUUUUCCUCGGAUGUGCCCAGGUGGGAUUAGCUAGUUGGUGAGGUAAUGGCUCACCAAGGCGACGAUCCCUAGCUGGUCUGAGAGGAUGACCAGCCACACUGGAACUGAGACACGGUCCAGACUCCUACGGGAGGCAGCAGUGGGGAAUAUUGCACAAUGGGCGCAAGCCUGAUGCAGCCAUGCCGCGUGUGUGAAGAAGGCCUUCGGGUUGUAAAGUACUUUCAGCGGGGAGGAAGGCAAGGCGGUUAAUAACCGUGUUGAUUGACGUUACCCACAGAAGAAGCACCGGCUAACUCCGUG
rnacentral:rRNA from 1 species